rnacentral:misc_RNA from 1 species
GAUGAAGAACGCAGCGAAAUGCGAUAAGUAAUGUGAAUUGCAGAAUUCAGUGAAUCAUCGAAUCUUUGAACGCACAUUGCGCCCCCUGGCAUUCCGAGGGGCAUGCCUGUUCGAGCGUCAUUAUAACCCCUCAAGCUCAGCUUGGUGUUGGGGCCUGCUGCACUGGCAGCCCUUAAAAUCAGUGGCGGCGCCAUCUGGCUCUAAGCGUAGUAAUUCUUCUCGCUAUGGAGUCCUGGUGGAUGCUUGCCAUCAACCCCCAAUUUUUCUAUGGUUGACCUCGGAUCAGGUAGGGAUACCCGCUGAACUUAAGCAUAUCAAUAAGCGGAGGA